GACGGGGGGUCCUAGCGUUGUUCGGAAUCAUUGGGCGUAAAGCGUGUGCAGGCGGUUUGGAAAGUUGGAUGUGAAAGCCCCGGGCUCAACUCGGGAAGUGCAUUCAAAACUCCCAAACUUGAGUAAGGAAGAGGGUCGUGGAAUUCCAGGUGUAGUGGUGAAAUACGUAGAUAUCUGGAGGAACACCGAUGGCGAAGGCAGGUCUCUGGGCCACUACUGACGCUGAGAAGCGAAAGCAUGGGGAGCGAACAGG
rnacentral:rRNA from 1 species